GAUUGUGUGAGGAGAGCAACGAAUGCAAACUAGUGCUCUGGGUUUUUGGGCUAUUUAGCAAGGACGUUUUUGGAUUGCAUGUGUGAGGUGGAUCGGGUUUGAUCACGUUUUGGACACGUGCAAGGACUGGAGCCAUUUUGAUGGUCAGAAACUUCUCUGAAGCUGACUUCGAAGGCCCCAAAGCCCCUGAUAAACCUUCCAGGACUACAGAAAGAUCCCAGUAAGUAAUUGGCCACCUGCAGAUGGCAUCGUGGAGAAAAAGGGACAUACAAGGGGAUCCCACCAAGGCUCUAAAGCACAUGUGUCAA